rnacentral:rRNA from 1 species
UACGGAGGGCGCAAGCGUUGUUCGGAAUUACUGGGCGUAAAGCGCGUGUAGGCGGCCAGGUAAGUCGGAUGUGAAAUCCCGGGGCCCAACCCCGGAACUGCACCCGAUACUGCCCGGCUGGAGUCCCGGAGAGGAUGGCGGAAUUUCCGGUGUAGAGGUGAAAUUCGUAGAUAUCGGAAGGAACACCAGUGGCGAAGGCGGCCAUCUGGACGGUGACUGACGCUGAGACGCGAAAGCGUGGGGAGCAAACAGGG